rnacentral:lncRNA from 1 species
AUGAGCUAAUAAUGGAAGCAAUUUGUAACUUUCAGUAGCUCUCUAGGCCUGGGUACCGGAGGGAGGGAGGCGGGCAGAGGAGGGGAGAUGGGCACCCCCAGUCUUUCCAUCCUCCUCAUUCGUCUAGGGGCACCCGAAUCCCCUAUUCCUUAUUUCCCCUAUCACUCAGGCACUGGCAGGGUCCUUUGCCCACUCCUGUUGGCCGCUGCGGCUCCAAAGCGAGCUGGGCAGAUGUGCCUGACACAGGUUUGACCAGGCAACUGAAAAGACAUCUCUAAGAGAAGACAAAGCAAAGGUAUGAAAGGAACACACGUCCCUGACUGACUAGGAGGAACAGAGCUGCCUGCUAUCUGGAACAACUUCCUCCCAGACUAAGGCUACAGCCGAGAAUACCACAGACGGUUUGCCAUGGAUCAAGAUUUCUCUCAAGAAAGAGCUCACAGAAAGGCUGCUGUGAGAAAGGAAGUCACUUGCUACUCCCCUUAUUCCUCCAUCAGGAGGAGCUAGAUGAGGUCACUGCACAUUUGAGUGGGUGCUAUCAAAGCACAGCCUCUGGCCAGCGUGGAGACAAACGUGGGCUGUGUGGCCCGUGACUCAGUGGCUUAAAGGAAACCUGAGG